rnacentral:rRNA from 1 species
AGGACGAACGCUGGCGGCGUGCUUAACACAUGCAAGUCGAACGAUGAUGCCAGCUUGCUGGUGGAUUAGUGGCGAACGGGUGAGUAACACGUGGGUGAUCUGCCCCAAACUUUGGGAUAAGCCUGGGAAACUGGGUCUAAUACCGAAUAUGACCACGGAAUGCAUGUUUUGUGGUGGAAAGCUCCGGCGGUUUGGGAUGGGCCCGCGGCCUAUCAGCUUGUUGGUGGGGUAAUGGCCUACCAAGGCGACGACGGGUAGCCGGCCUGAGAGGGCGACCGGCCACGACUGGGACUGGAGCACGGCCCAGACUCCUACGGGAGGCAGCAGGUGGGAAUAUUGCACAAUGGGCGCAAAGCCUGAUGCAGCGACGCCGCGUGAGGGAUCGACGGUCCUUCGGGUUGUAAACCGUCUUUCCACCUACGGACGAAGACGAAGUGACGUACCGUGGAGAACGAAGCACCGCAACUACGUGCCAGACCGACGCCGAC